rnacentral:rRNA from 1 species
GUGCGCUGCUUAACAUGCAGUCGAACGGUAACAGGGAGCUUGCUCCGCUGACGAGUGGCGAACGGGUGAGUAAUACAUCGGAACGUGCCCAGUAAUGGGGGAUAGCUCGGCGAAAGCCGGAUUAAUACCGCAUACGCCCUGAGGGGGAAAGUGGGGGACCGCAAGGCCUCACGUUAUUGGAGCGGCCGAUGGCUGAUUAGCUAGUUGGUAGGGUAAAGGCCUACCAAGGCGACGAUCAGUAGCUGGUCUGAGAGGACGAUCAGCCACACUGGGACUGAGACACGGCCCAGACUCCUACGGGAGGCAGCAGUGGGGAAUUUUGGACAAUGGGGGAAACCCUGAUCCAGCAAUGCCGCGUGUGCGAAGAAGGCCUUCGGGUUGUAAAGCACUUUUGUCAGGGAAGAAAUCCUUUGGGCUAAUACCCUAGGGGGAUGACGGUACCUGAAGAAUAAGCACCGGCUAACUACGUGCCAGCAGCCGCGGUAAUACGUAGGGUGCAAGCGUUAAUCGGAAUUACUGGGCGUAAAGCGUGCGCAGGCGGUUGUGUAAGACAGGUGUGAAAUCCCCGGGCUUAACCUGGGAAUUGCAUUUGUGACUGCACGACUAGAGU